rnacentral:rRNA from 1 species
UGGGGAAUUUUGGACAAUGGGCGCAAGCCUGAUCCAGCCAUUCCGCGUGCAGGAUGAAGGCCCUCGGGUUGUAAACUGCUUUUGUACGGAACGAAAAAGCCUGGGCUAAUACCCCGGGUCCAUGACGGUACCGUAAGAAUAAGCACCGGCUAACUACGUGCCAGCAGCCGCGGUAAUACGUAGGGUGCAAGCGUUAAUCGGAAUUACUGGGCGUAAAGCGUGCGCAGGCGGUGAUGUAAGACAGGUGUGAAAUCCCCGGGCUUAACCUGGGAACUGCAUUUGUGACUGCAUCGCUGGAGUGCGGCAGAGGGGGAUGGAAUUCCGCGUGUAGCAGUGAAAUGCGUAGAUAUGCGGAGGAACACCGAUGGCGAAGGCAAUCCCCUGGGCCUGCACUGACGCUCAUGCACGAAAGCGUGGGGAGCAAAC